rnacentral:lncRNA from 1 species
AUUCUGUAGGUAAGCAAUAAUUGUAUUUUUCAAUCUAUUACUUAGACUUGCCAUGGCUCAGGCUGGAAUCUAAUAUAUGGGUGAUGGCUGUAACUCAAUUAUGGGGCCUCCACAGAGUCCUAGUGUAUUCAAAGAGUAAAGACACAGAACAGGAUAGCCCCCUAAGCUUCUCUUGGAAAAUGUGUGUGCCUUUGUGUGUCAGUGUGUGUGAAUGUGUGUGUGUGCACUCUUCAUUACAAGCUCCUCUUGUUGCCUUUUUGGCUACUAAGGAAUUUGAAUAUUUAAAUUAUGACGUUUAACUAGUUAAUGUAAUUUCCUUGGAUCCCUUGCUCUUAAUUUCUCGUCCCGUGCAUGUUAGAUCCACAAUGGGAACAAGUUCAUUCUUGUUGAAAAAACAGAUGUGCAGAGGCCAUGGCUGGUUGGAAGGGCCAUGUUAAAUGUUGGAGGUUGACAGCCCCAGCCGAGGGCAGCCAUGGGGCUCUCCCACUUGCACAUCUGCAUGACAGCAGCUGGGACAGAACCCUGGGCUUGGUAAAUCUUGGGCUCAGCCAGAGAGGCAGUCAUGAGAAAUAGCUGAAAAAUGGCACGUAGUGGGGACGCCCUCGACAGCAAAUUGCAAAGAAAUAUUCUGACAGCUGGAAAAAAGAUUUUAGCUUGAAUUAGUUCUACUCCUGGGAAAGCUAAUGUAACCUGCUAAAUCAACCUACACACCAGAAGUCCAAUCAUCUUAACCUUCACACUUGAUGACCAUCACACAGCUUCAUUACCUGGAUGUUCUGAUUCCAAAUGAAGAGUCAUCGUGACAUUCUUCAAAUCACGGAAUAUUAACACGAGCACUGUAUGGUCAGAGUAAUGCAUUUUCAGACUCUUUAUGCUAAUUUCUUAGGGCCAAUACUCAUUGACAAUACUGCUUAUUAAACCUAGUAAUGAAUUGGACUUUAAUUAUUUUCAACUCCCGUAUCAUCUUCUAAAUAGGUAUUUAUGAAAUGACCUAGAAAGUCUUAUUAUGACAGCUCUUGCUUGCUUGUUCAACAGGUUCCCAAAUUUGGAUGAUGUUUUGGCUGUCAUCCAAACAUUAUAUGAAUGCAGUUAUUGGACCCAGAGUCACAUUCAGCUGUCUCAUCUUACGCCAAUCAAUCAUAAUCUCGAUAGUUGUCAUGAAGUCCACACACGAGCAACAGACAACUACAGAGAUGAAUGCCUGCAUGGAAAAUCGUAAGAUUUUCGUAGUCUUUUAUGUCUCCAGCGUCCUUCAUCCUGAAGAUUACAGGACAAUACCAGAGACCCUGGCAGAAGGGCACAGAUCUGGCUUCCCGGAGACUGCUAAAGGCUCCAGGUGAGGCAACCCAGCGGUGCGGGGGAGUUACCGCCACAGGGAGCAGACUUUCAACCAAAGAAGUCCUCAAAAAGAGGCAGAAAGCUACAACGACUCUCUCUCCAUUCCUCCCCUCAAGGGACUGGUCACCCAACAGACUAAUUUUCCUCACGAAGCAGUGACCCCAUGUGCAGAAUUUCCUGGUGCCCCACCCCUCCUUCCUGCCUUACUUUUCUUUGACUUCAACUACACAUCUCUGGGACUGC